rnacentral:rRNA from 1 species
CCUACGGGAGGCAGCAGUAGGGAAUCUUCCACAAUGGGCGAAAGCCUGAUGGAGCAACGCCGCGUGGGUGAAGAAGGUCUUCGGAUCGUAAAACCCUGUUGUUAGAGACGAAAGUGCGUGAGAGUAACUGUUCACGUUUCGACGGUAUCUAACCAGAAAGCCACGGCUAACUACGUCCCAGCAGCCGCGGUAAUACGUAGGUGGCAAGCGUUAUCCGGAUUUUUUGGGCGUAAAGGGAACACAGGCGGUCUUUUAAGCUUGAUGUGAAAGCCUUCGGCUUAACCGGAGUAGUGCAUUGGAAACUGGGAGACUUGAGUGCAGAAGAGGAGAGUGGAACUACAUGUGUAGCGGUGAAAUGCGUAGAUAUAUGGAAGAACACCAGUGGCGAAAGCGGCUCUCUGGUCUGUAACUGACGCUGAGGUUCGAAAGCGUGGGUAGCAAACAGGAUUAGAUACCCUGGUAGUC